rnacentral:rRNA from 1 species
CAGUCGCCGCGGGAAAACGGAGGGUGCAAGCGUUAAUCGGAAUUACUGGGCGUAAAGCGUGCGUAGGCGGUUCGUUAAGUCUGUUGUGAAAGCCCCGGGCUCAACCUGGGAAUGGCAAUGGAUACUGGCGAGCUAGAGUGUGUCAGAGGAUGGUGGAAUUCCCGGUGUAGCGGUGAAAUGCGUUGAGAUCGGAAAGAACACCAACGGCGAAAGCACUCUGCUGGGCCGACACUGACACUGAGAGACGAAAGCUAGGGGAGCAAAUGGGAUUAGAUACCCCAGUAGUUCCUGUCUCUUAUAC